CAGUAGCCGCGGUAAUACGAAGCGUGCAAGCGUUAAUCGGAAUUACUGGGCGUAAAGCGUGCGUAGGCGGUGAGUUAAGUCUGCUGUGAAAUCCCCGGGCUCAACCUGGGAAUGGCAGUGGAUACUGGCUCGCUAGAGUGUGUCAGAGGAUGGUGGAAUUCCGCGUGUAGCAGUGAAAUGCGUAGAUGUGCGGAGGAACACCGAUGGCGAAGGCAGCCCCCUGGGCCAACACUGACGCUCAUGCACGAAAGCGUGGGGAGCAAACAGGAUUAGAUACCCCGGUAGUCCCUGUCUCUUAUAC
rnacentral:rRNA from 1 species